ACAAAAGUGAGUAAGUCAUGGUCACUGCUCUCAAGGAGAUGUUAUCACAUGAUUUAGGUAGAUUUAGAUUCUUAAUGGACAUUUGAUCCAGUAAUGACCAAGGUUUCCUAAUUAUCUUCCUUAUUGGCCUGCCUUGUCCUGUUCAUUUAUUUAACACAUUUAUUGAGCACCUGCUAUGUGCUAGACAUUGGGCUGGCCUCAGGAUGCAACAACAAAUAAACAUCAUCCUUAUCUUUAGAGACUGAAACUACAAUACGAAGGAGCUAGGCUCCAUGAUACACCUGGUUGACUACCAAAUAAAUAGGUAACACUUUGUAUUCCUGUUGCUCCUCCCACAGAGUGCAGUGUACUCCACUCUACUUCCCUCUUCCAGCCGUUAUGCAGUGAAGUUCCAGUUGAGACAAGUUAAGUUCUUACUUGUGACCAACUUCAGAGGUGCCUGAGAGUCAGAGGACAGGCCCAGUCUCCAUUACAGUGGCGAACAGCUGGUGACUCCAGACCCUGUGCCCAUCGCCAGUAUUCUCAUCAGGCCCCUUCUCAGUAAACAAACACCCUUCAUACUUGAAGGCAAAUUCUGGCACGCUAAGACCCCACCCCUUAAGAUCCAAUCACCACCGACCAGAUGGUCGCCCAUCCUUUAAGAUCCAAUCACCACUGACCAGAUGAUUGCCCACCCUUUAAGAUCCAAUCACCAACACAGAACACACCCUACCCCUACUCCUUAAAAACGCACUUUCCCACAAGCUGCUGCUCCCUCUCCUGGGGGGAGCUAUUUUCUCUUUCAGAUAAUAAAAUCUCUUGUGUGGGCCCAUGUCUCCUGAGUCAUCCUGGGUAAGGAAGGCAUGGUAAGAUACCCUUUCAUUGGUGCUGUGACUUGGAUGAGGCUCUCCCACUGACUUUGCUCUUCCUCCGGGAACCUGAGCUUCUUUGGGAACCCUCACUGCCUGAUCCUCCUCCAUGGGCUCACCGUCCAUUUCCCCAGUCGCUCGUCUUCUCGCCUAACACCAGCCCUCAGUUUGAUAAGGAAUCAAAGACUGAAAAUCUCAUCUAACUUGCUGGAGGGCCUGCGAGUAACCAACGUCAUACUUGGACUAAAGCCCCUGGCUUUCUCGUCCAGCUGUCUUUCUAAUGUUUCCAUAAAGGGAGUUGAGCAAAGCUUUCAAGGAUGACAUACAAAGACAGGAGGAGGCUGAUGUGGGGUGAGAGGUUGUAACAAGCAGAUUGACUUUCCUGAGUUUGUAUUGCAUGAGCAACACCCACUAAGGGUGGAGGGAAGCAGCAGAGCGUAGCCAAUGUGGGAUUAAAGAUUGUGUCACAUCAAUCCACAAAGUAAAUAAUCUACAGUUCCACACUGAGGGGGGGGUGACAGCGUGUCUUUUUCUCCUUUCACACAUAGCUCUUUGGGUCUUGUCGGGCCACCCCAAAUCUAGAUUAAUUUUUCAGAAGAUCCUAUAUAAACCUUUUCUUCAGAGUUCUGAGCUUGCUAAUGUGUGGAUUUGGCAGAGACGUGCAAAGUAAAGAGA